AGAUUAAGUUAUUAAGGGCGCACGGUGGAUGCCUUGGCACUAGAAACCGAAGAAGGACGUUACUAACGACGAUAUGCUUUGGGUAGCUGUAAGUAAGCGUUGAUCCAGAGAUUUCCGA
rnacentral:rRNA from 1 species